CCCUUAGAUGUCCUGGGCCGCACGCGCGUUACACUGAUGCAUUCAACGAGCUUAUAACCUUGGCCGAGAGGCCUGGGCAAUCUUGUUAACGUGCAUCGUGAUAGGGAUAGAUUAUUGAAAUUAUUAAUCUUGAACGAGGAAUUCCUAGUAAACGCAGAUCAUCAAUCUGCAUUGAUUACGUCCCUGCCCUUUGUACACACCGCCCGUCGCACCUACCGAUUGGAUGGUCCGGUGAAGCCUCGGGAUUGUGGUUCUUGCCGCUUUCUUGUGGCGUGACCGCGAGAACUUGUCUAAACCUUAUCAUCUAGAGGAAGGUGAAGUCGUAACA
rnacentral:rRNA from 1 species